GACGAACGCUGGCGGCGUGCUUAACACACGCAAGUCGAACGAUGAAGCCGGAGCUUGCUCUGGUGAAUUAGUGGCGAACGGGUGAGUAACACGUGAGUAACCUGCCCUUGACUCUGGGAUAACUGCUAGAAAUGGUAGCUAAUACCGGAUACGACCCUCGGAGGCAUCUUCAGGGGGUGGAAAGAAUUUCGGUCAAGGAUGGACUCGCGGCCUAUCAGCUAGUUGGUGAGGUAAUGGCUCACCAAGGCGACGACGGGUAGCCGGCCUGGGAGGGUGACCGGCCACACUGGGACUGAGACACGGCCCAGACUCCUACGGGAGGCAGCAGUGGGGAAUAUUGCACAAUGGGCGCAAGCCUGAUGCAGCAACGCCGCGUGAGGGAUGACGGCCUUCGGGUUGUAAACCUCUUUUAGCAGGGAAGAAGCGAAAGUGACGGUACCUGCAGAAAAAGCACCGGCUAACUACGUGCCAGCCGCCGCAGUAA
rnacentral:rRNA from 1 species